rnacentral:rRNA from 1 species
CAGCAGCCGCGGGAAUACGUAGGUGGCAAGUGUUGUCCGGAAUUAUUGGGCGUAAAGGGCUCGCAGGCGGUUUCUUAAGUCUGAUGUGAAAGCCCCCGGCUCAACCGGGGAGGGUCAUUGGAAACUGGGAAACUUGAGUGCAGAAGAGGAGAGUGGAAUUCCACGUGUAGCGGUGAAAUGCGUAGAGAUGUGGAGGAACACCAGUGGCGAAGGCGACUCUCUGGUCUGUAACUGACGCCGAGGAGCGAAAGCGUGGGGAGCGAACAGGAUUAGAUACCCGAGUAGUCCCUGUCUCUUAUAC